CCUACGGGAGGCAGCAGUGGGGAAUAUUGCACAAUGGGGGAAACCCUGAUGCAGCGACGCCGCGUGAGUGAAGAAGUAUUUCGGUAUGUAAAGCUCUAUCAGCGGGGAAGAGAAUGACGGUUACCGAGUAAGAAGCCUCGGCUAACGACGUGCCAGGAGCCGCGGUAAUACGUAGGGGGCAAGCGUUAACCGGAUUUACUGGGUGUAAAGGGAGGGUAGACGGCGAAGAAAGUCUGAAGUGAAAGCCCGGGGCUCAACCGCGGAACUGCUUUGGAAACUUUUUUGCUGGAGUACCGGAGAGGUAAGCGGAAUUCCUAGUGUAGCGGUGAAAUGCGUAGAUAUUAGGAGGAACACCAGUGGCGAAGGCGGCUUACUGGACGGUAACUGACGUUGAGGCUCGAAAGCGUGGGGAGCAAACAGGAUUAGAUACCCCAGUAGUC
rnacentral:rRNA from 1 species